rnacentral:rRNA from 1 species
UACAGAGGUCUCAAGCGUUGUUCGGAUUCAUUGGGCGUAAAGGGUGCGUAGGCGGCGCGGUAAGUCGGGUGUGAAAUCUCGGAGCUUAACUUCGAAACUGCAUUCGAUACUGCCGUGCUCGAGGACUGGAGAGGAGACUGGAAUUUACGGUGUAGCGGUGAAAUGCGUAGAUAUCGUAAGGAAGACCAGUGGCGAAGGCGGGUCUCUGGACAGUUCCUGACGCUGAGGCACGAAGGCUAGGGGAGCAAACGGG